rnacentral:pre_miRNA from 1 species
GAUUUCAAUUGAAAAAGUCAUCAACAACAAAAUUCUAUAACUCAUCAAGAUCUAAAACUUUUAUUUUUAUCAUUUCUUCAUCCGAUAAAGUGUUAGUAACAUUGUUCACAAAUUUUACAUAUAUGUGUUAUAGUUUAUAAAACCAGAUAAGAUAAGAGAUACGUCAAUUUUGUGAACAAUGUUACUAUCACUUUGUCGGAUGAAGAAAUGAUCAAAAUAAAAAUUUUAGAUCUUGAUGAGUUAUUUAACUUUGUUGUUGAUAACUUUUUCAGUUGAAAUC